UACGUAGGGUCCGAGCGUUGUCCGGAAUUAUUGGGCGUAAAGGGCUCGUAGGCGGUUCGUCACGUCGGGAGUGAAAACUCGGAGCUUAACUCCGAGCCUGCUUCCGAUACGGGCAGACUAGAGGUAGGCAGGGGAGAGCAGAACUCCUGGUGUAGCGGUGGAAUGCGCAGAUAUCAGGAAGAACACCGGUGGCGAAGGCGGCUCUCUGGGCCUUACCUGACGCUGAGGAGCGAAAGCGUGGGUAGCGAACAGG
rnacentral:rRNA from 1 species